rnacentral:tRNA from 1 species
GCCUCUAUUAUCAAACGGUUAAUGUGCUCAGCUGCUAACUGAAAGGUUGGCAGUUCAAGUCCACCCAGAGGCA